AACCCGAGAGAGUAAUGGAGCCCUAAUUCAUCAGUUAACUGAAUCUGUGGAGCAAAUUUUUUUUUUUAUGUUUUAUUAUUUUUGAAUUUUUUUUAUAGUUUCAAAAGCAUAAUAGAGAAACUCCAUUUGGCUAAAAUUCAAGAAUUUGCAGCUUAAAGGUGCUGACAAUGUUUAUUCUUUUGGAAUGCCAAAGCCAAAAAAACCAGAACAUAUGCUUCAACUUCUGCAGCAAUUUAUCAAACACGCAAAACAAAUCAAACAAAUACAUUCACUUCUCAUAACUAGUGGCCCUCUCCUCCUUACUUCUCAAUGGAUCAACACACUUCUUUACAACACUCUCAUCAGGGCUUAUCUCAACAUUGCUCAGUCUCAAACAACUCUUAUCCUUUUCACCCACAUGCUCAUCCAUCAAGCUCAGCCAAACAGCCAUACUUUCCCUUCCCUCUGCAAAGCAGCCUCGUCUUUCCCGCCCCAUAUGGCUUCAUAUAUAGGCAAGAAUCUUCACUGUCAAGUCUUGAGAAGAGGGGUCUUGGGCGACCCGUAUGUGUGUACAUCUUUUAUUGGGCUGUACGCGCACGCUGGUGAACUCUGGAGUGCAUGCAAAGUUUUUAAUGAAAUUCCUGAACCGUGUGUUGUCUCGUAUAAUGCGAUGCUUGAUGCUUGUGGGAAAAAUGGAGAUAUGGGUUUGGGUUUUCUGAUGUUUUCUCGCAUGCCUUCUAGAGAUGUUUAUUCGUGGAGUAGUAUGAUUCAUGGGUAUAUGAAGAACGGGUGCUCUGAGGUUGCUGUUAAGUUUUUCGAGAGAAUGAUGGUACACAAGGAUGUGAAGCUUGGUUUAUUGAAGCCAAAUGAGGCAACUUUUGUUAGUCUUCUUUCUUCUUGCACAUUUCUCGAUGUUGGUGUGGCGUUAUAUCUAGGGAGGCAAGUACAUGCUUACAUGAUAAAGAAUGAGGAGUUGAGUGUCUUCAUGAAGACAGCAUUGAUUGCAUUUUAUGGGAAGAUGGGUUGUUUGGUAUAUGCUUCAAAGAUAUUUGAUGCAAUGGUUACCAAGCAAGUUUGUGCUUGGAAUGCUAUGAUUUCUUCCCUAGCUUUGAAUGGUAAAGAGAAGCAGGCAUUAACGAUGUACGAGAAGAUGCUUGCAAAGGGGCUGCAACCAAAUGAGAUUACCUUCGUGGCAGUUCUAUCAGCUUGUGCACGUGCCAAGCUUGUCGAUUUCUGUUUCAAAUUGUUUGAAUCAAUGUCAAGUGAAUUCGGACUUGUAGCUAAGAUGGAACAUUACGGUUGUAUGGUCGAUCUCUUAGGGAGAGCUGGGCUACUGCAGGAAGCAUAUGAUUUUAUAAAGAGGAUGCCUUUUGAAGCUGAUGCCACUGUCUUGGGUGCUAUGAUGGGUGCUUGUAGACUUUAUGGAGCUAUUGAGUUGGGAAAUGAAGUAGCACAACUAUUGCUUAAGUCGCAACCGAAUCAUUCUGGGCGAUAUGUGCAACUCUCAAGCAUUUAUGCUGGUGCAGAGAGGUGGGAUCAUGCUGCUGCCUUGAGAAAAGCAAUGUUAGAUGCUGGAAUUCACAAGGUUCCAGCCCACAGUUUUAUUUAAUAGAGCUGAUAACUGCAGCAGCUUUUAUUUGCAUAGUAGACUGCUUGGUGAUGAAAUGCCGACUCAUCAGAAUCAGCUAAAAGGAUCCUGCAUAUUGGUUUUGCUCUGAGUUUGAACCACUGCUUAAAGAAUGCUGCAGCCUUAGCAGAUAAAUGUUCAUCAAUUUUUGAGUUUGAAUUAUCUUCGAGCUCAAGCUAACAUAGCUUGACAGAUAAAGAAGAUGAUACAUUUUUUCUGGAGAUGCACAACUAACCGGUUCCCAAGUCUGUUUGGCGAGGAAAUGUGAGGAAUGCAAGUUGUGGUGGAAUUUCUCCGCCGGUUUUGUUAGAUGAGAGAUCCAAUGAUUCGAGUACAGAUAAAUGUUGCAAUGACGCCGGUUUAUGACCUUCCAAGCCAUUUUGAGAUAAGUUCAAUGUACGAAGUCCAACGAGAUCUCCAAUAAUAUUUGGUAUAUGACCUUCAAAUCUAUUCCUUGAGAAAUUGAUAAUUUUGUUCGUACUCCUCAAAACACGAACAAAAGAAAGAUCCAAUCCCUUUGUUGCAAUUGUCAAAGAAUUAUCAUACACUGAAAAAUCAACUCCUAUCAUCUGCUCAUCAUUUACUUUCAUGACAUUGAAAUUGUGAAAAACAUUUAUGGGUAAAUUCCCACUAAAUCCAUUGGAUGAGAGCAAUAAUUCGAAGUUGCGCAAACAAGUUUCGAUUCUUUGAACUUUUAAUGGGCCCGUGCAACUUAUUAGAAGCCAACUUUAAAAUCACCAAACUUGGUAAGGUUCCCAACCAUCUUGGAAAUGUGUCAUUCAACUGAUUGUUACCUAAAUUCAGAAGUUUCAAAUCUUUGCAAUUGAUCAAAGAUCGUGGAAUUUUCCCCUCUAGCUUAUUCUCAUCCAAUUUAAUAAUGUAGAGUUGGUUUCCAAAUCUAAAAGUUGUAAUUGUCCCACAAAGAUUAUUGUUGCUUAAAUCCAAAAUCCAAAGUAUUCUCAUCUCACCCAAACAUUGUGGUAUUGUUCCGUUCAAACUAUUGCUUCCCAAAUCUAGCACUAAAAGUUUUUUCAGAUUGUAGGCGGUCGAAGAAAUCUGACCACUAAGAUUAUUUUGAGAAAGGAUAAGAUAAUGCAGUAGGAGUGACUUUGGAAUAGCACCUUCCAGCUGAUUUUGUUUUAGAGCAACUACAGGCAAUGUUUUGGAGUUGAACUUCUGAAUUUUUCCACUGAAAUGGUUAUCAUUCAAGUAUAAUGCAGUUAGUGAAGGAAGGGAGUAUAUCCGGAAGGUAUAUUCCCAUUCAAGUGGUUUGAUGACAAGCUGAGUGUUUGUAGGUUUUGCAGACCACUUACAUUGGACGGAACUGAACCAGCUAGGGAAUUGGACGAAAAAUCUAGCAGUUCAAGUUGCGUUUUUUGUAGAGAAUGACGAAAAAUAUCAAAAUUAAGUAUUUUGUAGAGAAGAAAUGAAGAAUUUUUUGUUCUGCUCCUCUGUUAAGUAAUAUUGAGAUAUAUAUAAUACAAAUUCAGUGCAAUAAAAUCCGUUACUAUUGCUUUCGAGUAAGCAAUUUCAGAAA